GACGAACGCUGGCGGCGUGCUUAACACAUGCAAGUCGAACGGAAAGGCCCUGCUUUUGUGGGGUGCUCGAGUGGCGAAAGGGUGAGUAACACGUGAGUAACCUGCCCUUGACUUUGGGAUAACUUCAGGAAACUGGGGCUAAUACCGGAUAGGAGCUCCUGCUGCAUGGUGGGGGUUGGAAAGUUUCGGCGGUUGGGGAUGGACUCGCGGCUUAUCAGCUGGUUGGUGGGGUAGUGGCUUACCAAGGCUUUGACGGGUAGCCGGCCUGAGAGGGUGACCGGCCACAUUGGGACUGAGAUACGGCCCAGACUCCUACGGGAGGCAGCAGUGGGGAAUAUUGCACAAUGGGCGGAAGCCUGAUGCAGCAACGCCGCGUGCGGGAUGACGGCCUUCGGGUUGUAAACCGCUUUCGCCUGUGACGAAGCGUGAGUGACGGUAAUGGGUAAAGAAGCACCGGCUAACUACGUG
rnacentral:rRNA from 1 species